GACGUAGGGGGCCAGCGUUGCUCGGAAUUACUGGGUGUAAAGGGUUCGUAGGCGGUGUUGCAAGUCGGGAGUGAAAUCUCUGGGCUCAACCCAGAGUCUGCUUCCGAAACUGCCGUGCUUGAGUGUGGGAGAGGCGCGUGGAAUUGCAGGUGUAGCGGUGAAAUGCGUAGAUAUCUGCAGGAACACCCGUGGCGAAAGCGGCGCGCUGGACCACUACUGACGCUGAGGAACGAAAGCUAGGGGAGCAAACAGG
rnacentral:rRNA from 1 species